UCCUGCUCAGUGAAUAUAAACAGCCGCAGAAUUUUAUACUGUGCUAAGGUAGCAUAAUCACUUGUCUUCUAAUUAAAGAAUAGAAUGAACGGAAAUACGAAUUUUAGACUGUUUCAUUUUUACCUAAUAAAAUUACCAAAAAGUAAAAACACUUUUACACAAAAUAAAGACGAUAAGACCCUAAAGAACUUUACUAAAGUUAAGCUGGGGCGGCUUGUCUAAAAAAAUCUUAUUCAAAAAUCUUCUAAUCCUAAUUUUAUUACCAACGUUACCUUAGGGAUAACAGCAUAAUUUAAUUUUACAGCUCUUAUUUAAAAUUAAGAUUAUGACCUCGAUGUUGAAUUAAAAUUCUUCUAGACGAAAAAAAUUAGCAAGAAAGUCUGUUCGACUUGUAAAAAUUUACAUGAUUUGAGUUCAGACCGGUGUAAACCAGGUCGGUUUCUAUCUUAUACAAAAAUGUAUUAGUACGAAAGGACCAUACGAUUUAUUAUUAAU
rnacentral:rRNA from 1 species